rnacentral:lncRNA from 1 species
UAGCAAAGUGAGUAUCUGCUAGGACCAUACAACCCUUUUCUUUCUGGACUUUAAGCUAUUAUAACAAGCAUAGACAAGAUGCAUCUAAUUAGACAGGACAUGGUCUCAGGAGGCCAAUCGUAACGAAGGUUAGAAGUGACCUCUGAUAGUCUGUUCCAAAGGCGGGUCAAUUCUUGGCCCAACCCAAUCAUAUUUCACAAUGACAUCAAGAUUGAAACUAUGAUAAACACUCAUGCGAUUAGAUAUUUUAGCAGCACUAGGACU